GACGAACGCUGGCGGCGUGCUUAACACAUGCAAGUCGAACGAAGUGGCGAACGGGUGAGUAAUACGUGGGUAACCUGCCCUCCUUUUUGGGAUAAGCCUUGGAAACGGGGUCUAAUACCGAAUAAAGGGGGAUGGGCUCGCGGCCUAUCAGCUUGUUGGUGGGGUGAUGGCCUACCAAGGCGGUGACGGGUAGCCGGCCUGAGAGGGCGAACUGCCACAGUGGGACGGAGAUACGGCCCAGAGGCCGACGGGAGGGAGAAGUGGGGGAUAUUGGACAAUGGGCGAAAGACUGAUGCAGCGACGCCGCGGGGGGGAUGAAGGCUGUAGGGUUGUAAACCUCUUGAGCUACCGAACGGGUAGGUGGAGAAGAAGCGCCGGCUAACUACGUGCCAGCAGCCGCGGUAAUUC
rnacentral:rRNA from 1 species